rnacentral:rRNA from 1 species
AGUGAACGCUGGCGGUAGGCCUAACACAUGCAAGUCGAACGGCAGCACAGUAAGAGCUUGCUCUUACGGGUGGCGAGUGGCGGACGGGUGAGGAAUACAUCGGAAUCUACUUUUUCGUGGGGGACAACGUAGGGAAACUUACGCUAAUACCUCAUACGACGUACGGGUGAAAGCAGGGGAUCUUCGGACCUUGCGCGAUUGAAUGAGACGAUGUCGGAUUAGCUAGUUGGCGGGGUAAAGGCCCACCAAGGCGACGAUCCGUAGCUGGUCUGAGAGGAUGAUCAGCCACACUGGAACUGAGACACGGUCCAGACUCCUACGGGAGGCAGCAGUGGGGAAUAUUGGACAAUGGGCGCAAGCCUGAUCCAGCCAUACCGCGUGGGUGAAGAAGGCCUUCGGGUUGUAAAGCCCUUUUGUUGGGAAAGAAAAGCAGCAGGUUAAUACCCCGCUGUUCUGACGGUACCCAACGAAUAAGCACCGGCUAACUUCGUG